rnacentral:rRNA from 1 species
GAUGAACGCUGGCGGCGUGCCUAAUACAUGCAAGUCGAGCGAACAGACGAGGAGCUUGCUCCUCUGACGUUAGCGGCGUACGGGUGAGUAACACGUGGAUAACCUACCUAUAAGACUGGGAUAACUUCGGGAAACCGGAGCUAAUACCGGAUAAUAUAUUGAACCGCAUGGUUCAAUAGUGAAAGACGGUUUUGCUGUCACUUAUAGAUGGAUCCGCGCCGCAUUAGCUAGUUGGUAAGGUAACGGCUUACCAAGGCAACGAUGCGUAGCCGACCUGAGAGGGUGAUCGGCCACACUGGAACUGAGACACGGUCCAGACUCCUACGGGAGGCAGCAGUAGGGAAUCUUCCGCAAUGGGCGAAAGCUUGACGGAGCAACGCCGCGUGAGUGAUGAAGGUCUUCGGAUCGUAAAACUCUGUUAUUAGGGAAGAACAAAUGUGUAAGUAACUAUGCACGUCUUGACGGUACCUAAUCAGAAAGCCACGGCUAACUACGUG